rnacentral:rRNA from 1 species
UACGUAGGGUGCGAGCGUUGUCCGGAAUUAUUGGGCGUAAAGAGCUCGUAGGUGGCUUGUCGCGUCUGCCGUGAAAGCCCGUGGCUUAACUACGGGUCUGCGGUGGAUACGGGCAGGCUAGAGGCUGGUAGGGGCAAGCGGAAUUCCUGGUGUAGCGGUGAAAUGCGCAGAUAUCAGGAGGAACACCGGUGGCGAAGGCGGCUUGCUGGGCCAGUUCUGACGCUGAGGAGCGAAAGCGUGGGGAGCGAACAGG